AUUGAACGCUGGCGGCAGGCUUAACACAUGCAAGUCGAGCGAGCGGCGGACGGGUGAGUAAUGUCUGGGAAACUGCCUGAUGGAGGGGGAUAACUACUGGAAACGGUCGCUAAUUCCGCAUACCAUCAGAUGUGCCCAGAUGGGAUUAGCUAGUAGGUGGGGUAAUGGCUCACCUAGGCGACGAUCCCUAGCUGGUCUGAGAGGGUGACCAGCCACCCUGGAACUGGGACACGGUCCAGACGCCAACGGAAGGCAGCGUUGGGGAAUAUUGCACAAUGGGGGCAAGCCUGAUGCGGCCAGGCCGCGUGUGUGAGGAAGGCCUUCGGGUUGUAAAGCACUUUCAGCGAGGAGGCGUUACUCGCAGAGGAAGCACCGGCUAACUCCGUGCCAGCCGCCGCGGUAAUUC
rnacentral:rRNA from 1 species